rnacentral:rRNA from 1 species
GACGAACGCUGGCGGCGCGCCUAACACAUGCAAGUCGAACGAGCGAGAGAGAGCUUGCUUUCUUGAGCGAGUGGCGAACGGGUGAGUAACGCGUGAGGAACCUGCCUCAAAGAGGGGGACAACAGUUGGAAACGACUGCUAAUACCGCAUAAGCCCACGACCCGGCAUCGGGGUGAGGGAAAAGGAGCAAUCCGCUUUGAGAUGGCCUCGCGUCCGAUUAGCUAGUUGGUGAGGUAACGGCCCACCAAGGCGACGAUCGGUAGCCGGACUGAGAGGUUGAACGGCCACAUUGGGACUGAGACACGGCCCAGACUCCUACGGGAGGCAGCAGAGGGGAAUAUUGCACAAUGGGGGAAACCCUGAUGCAGCGACGCCGCGUGGAGGAAGAAGGUCUUCGGAUUGUAAACUCCUGUUGUUGAGGAAGAUAAUGACGGUACUCAACAAGGAAGUGACGGCUAACUACGUG